UUGCAAUGAUGAGAACCGAAUCGAACGAGAGCGUUUAAAAGCGUUUAAUGAGGUGGAAAAAAUAUAUUAUUUUUUUCCUGAGCGGUUACCUGAGUAA
rfam:Ananas comosus cultivar MD2 ACMD2_Scaffold_1422, whole genome shotgun sequence.